rnacentral:lncRNA from 1 species
CUAAUGAACCUAAUGAGAUUACAGAGACUAAGGUAAUGUUUGGAUGCCUCUGAAUGAGGUCUCCUCAUAGAGUGGAAGCAUGCUCAUUGGCAAUAUUUGGACUCCUGGGCUCUAUAAAACACACAGAUAUACAUAAAAUUACUGCAGAAGAACAUGGAGAUGGUAGACAUGUACAGGCAUGUGACCUGAGAGGAUGGUUUAGAGACCCUAUUCUUAAACACCAGAUCUUUUGGAGAUUUUUGGAUUCUACUCCUUAGAGAAAAAACUGAAUAGUCCAUCUAUUUCCUGCCCAGUGUCUUGCUUGAAGACCAGUCUGUUAGUUAUUUGGAUGCUUUUGCUGAUAACUGGAUGUAAAGAGGGUUGUGUACUUAGAAAAUUAAAUACUCAAGUGGAUCUGUGAUCUCAUCCAUCUAAACAUUCCCUCCAGUGAUGCAGAAGACAACCUGGCCAUGCCUGCUUAUCCUGUGUGACCACCAUCUCUAUCUCUCUAUAAGUUUCCCCAAAGGAGACCGCCCAAUAUGCUGGAGGCCAUCCUCAAUUUCUCCUGACAACUUUUGCAACUUUAUUUUGAAGGCAAACUGUCCUAACACAAGCUGUUCCCUAUGUAUGAUUUCACACUGCCUGCCUUUGAAACUUCUGACCAGCCUGUUCUCUGUGACUGGAAUGAAAUGGCAAUAGGAGGACUAACGCCUAAUCAAAGAGAAGAGAAAACUGUUUUCACUUUCUUAGAAGUUGUUCAGGACUGGAUUUGACAAUCACUCCAUCAACUGACUGCUGGAAUCUGAAAUUCUGAACUAAUUUACUGUGUUGUAUAUUGGCAGGGAGGUAUAUCUGAUGCUUUUA